CGGGUGAGUAAUGCCUAGGAAUCUGCCUGGUAGUGGGGGACAACGUCCCGAAACGGACGCUAAUACCGCAUACGUCCUACGGGAGAAAGCAGGGGACCUUCGGGCCUUGCGCUAUCAGAUGAGCCUAGGUCGGAUUAGCUAGUUGGUGAGGUAAUGGCUCACCAAGGCGACGAUCCGUAACUGGUCUGAGAGGAUGAUCAGUCACACUGGAACUGAGACACGGUCCAGACUCCUACGGGAGGCAGCAGUGGGGAAUAUUGGACAAUGGGCGAAAGCCUGAUCCAGCCAUGCCGCGUGUGUGAAGAAGGUCUUCGGAUUGUAAAGCACUUUAAGUUGGGAGGAAGGGCUGUAGAUUAAUACUUUGCUGUUUUGACGUUACCGACAGAAUAAGCACCGGCUAACUCUGUGCCAGCAGCCGCGGUAAUACAGAGGGUGCAAGCGUUAAUCGGAAUUACUGGGCGUAAAGCGCGCGUAGGUGGUUUGUUAAGUUGGAUGUGAAAUCCCCGGGCUCAACCUGGGAACUGCAUUCAAAACUGACAAGCUAGAGUAUGGUAGAGGGUGGUGGAAUUUCCUGUGUAGCGGUGAAAUGCGUAGAUAUAGGAAGGAACACCAGUGGCGAAGGCGACCACCUGGAC
rnacentral:rRNA from 1 species